GAUGAACGCUGGCGGCGUGCCUAGUACAUGCAAGUCGAGCGAACGGACGAGAAGCUUGCUUUUCUGAUGUUAGCGGCGGACGGGUGAGUAACACGUGGAUAACCUACCUAUAAGACUGGGAUAACUUCGGGAAACCGGAGCUAAUACCGGAUAAUAUUUUGAACCGCAUGGUUCAAAAGUGAAAGACGGUCUUGCUGUCACUUAUAGAUGGAUCCGCGCUGCAUUAGCUAGUUGGUAAGGUAACGGCUUACCAAGGCAACGAUGCAUAGCCGACCUGAGAGGGUGAUCGGCCACACUGGAACUGAGACACGGUCCAGACUCCUACGGGAGGCAGCAGUAGGGAAUCUUCCGCAAAGGGCGAAAGCCUGACGGAGCAACGCCGCGUGAGUGAUGAAGGUCUUCGGAUCGUAAAACUCUGUUAUUAGGGAAGAACAUAUGUGUAAGUAACUGUGCACAUCUUGACGGUACCUAAUCAGAAAGCCACGGCUAACUACGUG
rnacentral:rRNA from 1 species